GUAGCGGCGAGCGAACGCGGAUUAGCCCAAACCAAUAAAGUUUUCUUUAUUGGGGUUGCGGACAUAUCAUAACGAAGAGGUAUCGUAAUUGAAGAGGUUUGGAAAGACCCACCACAGAAGGUAAUAGUCCUGUAUGUUAAACGAGAAGACUUUAGAUAUGAUCCAGAGUACCACGGGACACGUGAAACCCUGUGGGAAGCAGGAGGGACCACCCUCCAAGGCUAAAUACUACCUAGUGACCGAUAGCGUAUAGUACCGUGAGGGAAAGGUGAAAAGAACCCCGGGAGGGGAGUGAAAUAGAACCUGAAACCCUGCACUUACAAGCUGUGGAAGCACAUUUCUUGUGUGACCGCGUACUUUUUGUAGAACGGGCCAACGAGUUACGUUAAGUAGCAAGGUUAAGCACUUAAGGUGUGGAGCCGUAGCGAAAGCGAGUUUUAACUGAGCGUUCAGUUACUUGACGUAGACCCGAAACCGGGCGACCUACCCAUGAGCAGGAUGAAGCGAAAGUAAAAUUUCGUGGAGGUCCGAACCCACGAGCGUUGAAAAGCUCGGGGAUGACUUGUGGGUAGCGGUGAAAUUCCAAUCGAGCCCGGAGAUAGCUGGUUCUCCCCGAAAUAGCUUUAGGGCUAGCCUCAAGGUGAG
rnacentral:rRNA from 1 species